rnacentral:tRNA from 1 species
GGGGUGGUAGUUCAGCUGGUUAGAACGCCUGCCUGUCACGCAGGAGGUCACGGGUUCAAAUCCCGUCCAUCCCGCCA